rnacentral:rRNA from 1 species
CUACGGGUGGCAGCAGUGAGGAAUAUUGCACAAUGGGGGGAACUCUGAUGCAGCAACGCCGCGUGGAGGAUGACGCAUUUCGGUGUGUAAACUCCUUUUAUAUGUCAAGAAAAUGACGGUAGCAUAUGAAUAAGCACCUGCUAACUCCGUGCCAGCAGCCGCGGUAAUACGGAGGGUGCAAGCGUUACUCGGAAUCACUGGGCGUAAAGGACGCGUAGGCGGGUUGGAAAGUCAGGUGUGAAAUCCUACAGCUUAACUGUAGAACUGCACUUGAAACUUCUAAUCUAGAGUAUGGGAGGGGGAGAUGGAAUUAGUGGUGUAGGGGUAAAAUCCGUAGAUAUCACUAGGAAUACCUAAAGCGAAGGCGAUCUCCUGGAACAUUACUGACGCUAAGGCGUGAAAGCGUGGGGAGCAAACAGGAUUAGAUACCCCGGUAGUC